rnacentral:rRNA from 1 species
UGCCUAGGAAUCUGCCUGGUAGUGGGGAACAACGUUUCGAAAGGAACGCUAAUACCGCAUACGUCCUACGGGAGAAAACAAGGGACCUUCGGGCCUUGCGCUAUCAGAUGAGCCUAGGUCGGAUUAGCUAGUUGGUAGGGUAAUGGCCUACCAAGGCAACGAUCUAUAGCUGGUCUGAGAGGAUGAUCAGCCACACUGGGACUGAGACACGGCCCAGACUCCUACGGGAGGCAGCAGUGGGGAAUAUUGGACAAUGGGCGCAAGCCUGAUCCAGCAAUACCGCGUGUGUGAAGAAGGGUU